AAAAGAAUUAUCCAUAAAGAAAAAUUCAACUAUGCGUUUCCUUUGCGAUCUAGCUUCGUCUCUUCCUCUCCGAUCGAUCUCGUGUGCAUCUUCAAUCCACUUCGCCUGCAUCUCCGAUCCACUUCGCCUGCAUCUCCGAUCGUCCUUGUCUGCAUCAAUCAAGAUCAUCUGCAUCUUCGUUCGACCUUGUCUGCAUCUCCGAUCGAUGUCUCUGUCUGCGAUCGAAUUCGUCUCAUUCUCGAUUAGAUCUUGUCCCAAUCAUAUUGAUCUAUUAUCCUCUCUCCAAUUCCAAUCGAUUUUCACAUUAUCUCAUCCUUGCUCAUUUUUUCAUAUGAAACCCUAAUCUAGCUGUUUAACAUCUAUAAUUGGUAUUUUGUCAAUUUCAGGUUCUUCCGGUUUCCGAUUGAAUUUGAAAUCCGCAUGUUCUGUUUUGAUUUUUUGUAUCCAGUUGAAGAAAAAAUAUUUGAAGCUUCAAAGAGUCACGAAAUGCUCUAAGAGAAGUUGUGAAGCUGCUUGAACAAAUCGUUAACAAGUUCCAAACUCAGAGUGUGAGCUUCAAAAAAGGGCCACCAAUAUGAGACAGUAUCAAGCUUUGUAUGUGGAAAUUUUGUUCCAUUCAUUAUGAGAGAAGCAAAGUGAUUUUUGAUAUGAAAAAUGAAGAUAUAUGAGUCCAAUUCCAAUACAAACUACCAGGAACAUAAAACACAUUUUUUACUUGAGAGUGGUCAUGGUCAAUUGGGCUAGGAAGAUGACUUUUCGACGGUGUUUUGUGAUUACAUCGGUAACUUCAUAAAGUCCGAUUUAAUGUGUUAUUGAGUCAAAAUUUGAUGCUGGCAAAAGGUCUGUGAGUGUUAUCAAAUUGCGGCGGCAUGGCCGCUAUGGCCGAUAUAUAUGUCAGUUUUUGGGCUUGCCGCAAUUGUAAAUAUCAGCCGAUAUUGCGUGUUUUUUCGCCAUAACCCGCUAUAACGGCGCCUCAAAGAGGCCGAUAUGGCGGGAUUCUGGCUCUCCGCCAUCGACCACACUCCUGUCUGACAUAAGAGUAUUUAUGGGGCCUGAAACCUUCCAAGGAUGGUUGAUCAGAUUUAAAGACACAACAACUCUUAUAUGUCAUUGGUAAGUUCAAAGGAUUAAUUUGUCAUGAAGUUGAAUUGAAUCCAAAGUAGAGACAUGAAGAAGAUGAACAUCACUACUACUUUAGAUUCUUUCCCACACCCUCUGAUUCACCAACCAUAAGAUGUUCACGAGUUAUCAACACUUUUAUGUUAGUUGUUUUGUUAAACUACUGUAGUGUCAAAUGCUUAAAUGCAUAUUUGCAAAUGUAGAGUGAGUUAAUCAAAUGUGAGUAGUUUCAGUCUAUUGUAAACUGAUUUGUGAUGAAAUAAAAGUUAUGAUAAGUUAAGUUGAAAUAGAAUGUGAUUUUGAUGUAUUUUGGUUUUGUCAAUGAUAAUAUAAAAUUGAGUUUUGGUAACUUCAAUGAUUAGUGGAUUAGUCAUGAAGAUAUACAAAUAUGAAAUAAUUUUGUUUACAAUUUAGCUUAAUUAGUUUUGAUUAGAAAUA